rnacentral:sRNA from 1 species
CCACAGCCAGGGUGGUUCCUUCGGGAGUGGCCUGGACGUCGAUAGCCGGAAGUGCGGCGUACGGAAAUAACACCGGCAGUC